rnacentral:rRNA from 1 species
UACGUAGGGAGCGAGCGUUGUCCGGAUUCAUUGGGCGUAAAGGGCGCGUAGGCGGCCUUCUAAGUCGAACGUGAAAUCCCCGGGCUCAACCCGGGAACUGCGUCCGAUACUGGAAGGCUUGAAUCCGGGAGAGGGAUGCGGAAUUCCAGGUGUAGCGGUGAAAUGCGUAGAUAUCUGGAGGAACACCGGUGGCGAAGGCGGCAUCCUGGACCGGCAUUGACGCUGAGGCGCGAAAGCCAGGGGAGCAAACGGG